UACAGGGAGGCAAACGUUGUUCGGAUUUACUGGGCGUAAAGCGCGUGUAGGCGGCUUUGCAAGUCGGAUGUGAAAGCCCACGGCUCAACCGUGGAAGUGCAUCCGAAACUGCAUAGCUGGAGUCCCGGAGAGGAAGGUGGAAUGCUUCGGUGUAGGAGGUGAAAUUCGUAGAUAUCAAGCAGAACACCUGCGGCGAAGGCGGCCUUCUGGACGGUGACUGACGCCUGAGACGCGAAAGCGUGGGGAGCAAACAGG
rnacentral:rRNA from 1 species